CGCUGGCGGCGUGCCUAAUACAUGCAAGUCGAACGGUCUUUCUAUGGAAGCUUGCUUCCACUGAGAAGAUAGUGGCGAACGGGUGAGUAACACGUGGGUAACCUGCCCAUAAGAGGGGGGAUAACAUCCGGAAACGGGUGCUAAUACCGCAUAGUUUUCUUGAUCGCAUGAUCGGGAAAGGAAAGACGGCCUUUGUGCUGUCGCUUAUGGAUGGACCCGCGGCGUAUUAGUUAGUUGGUGAGGUAACGGCUCACCAAGACGAUGAUACGUAGCCGACCUGAGAGGGUGAUCGGCCACAUUGGGACUGAGACACGGCCCAAACUCCUACGGGAGGCAGCAGUAGGGAAUCUUCCGCAAUGGACGAAAGUCUGACGGAGCAACGCCGCGUGAGUGAAGAAAAGGUUUUCGGAUCGUAAAACUCUGUUGUCAGAGAAGAACAAGUUGGAGAGUAACUGCUCCAGCCUUGACGGUAUCUGACCAGAAAGCCACGGCUAACUACGUGCCAGCCGCCGC
rnacentral:rRNA from 1 species